UUAAGCGACUAAGCGUACACGGUGGAUGCCCUGGCAGUCAGAGGCGAUGAAGGACGUGCUAAUCUGCGAAAAGCGCCGGCGAGGUGAUAUGAACCUUUGACCCGGCGAUGUCCGAAUGGGGAAACCCAGUGCAAUCCGUUGCACUAUCGUUAACUGAAUACAUAGGUUAACGAGGCGAACCGGGGGAACUGAAACAUCUAAGUACCCCGAGGAAAAGAAAUCAACCGAGAUUCCCCCAGUAGCGGCGAGCGAACGGGGAGCAGCCCGGAGUCUGAAUCAGCUUGUGUGUUAGUGGAACGGUCUGGAAAGUCCGACGGUACAGGGUGAUAGUCCCGUACACGAAAGCACACUUGCUGUGAACUCGAAGAGUAGGGCGGGACACGUGGUAUCCUGUCUGAAUAUGGGGGGACCAUCCUCCAAGGCUAAAUACUCCUGACUGACCGAUAGUGAACCAGUACCGUGAGGGAAAGGCGAAAAGAACCCCGGCGAGGGGAGUGAAAAAGAACCUGAAACCGUGUACGUACAAGCAGUGGGAGCCUCUUUAUGGGGUGACUGCGUACCUUUUGUAUAAUGGGUCAGCGACUUAUAUUCUGUAGCAAGGUUAACCGUAUAGGGGAGCCGAAGGGAAACCGAGUCUUAACUGGGCGUUAAGUUGCAGGGUAUAGACCCGAAACCCGGUGAUCUAGCCAUGGGCAGGUUGAAGGUUGGGUAACACUAACUGGAGGACCGAACCGACUAAUGUUGAAAAAUUAGCGGAUGACCUGUGGCUGGGGGUGAAAGGCCAAUCAAACCGGGAGAUAGCUGGUUCUCCCCGAAAGCUAUUUAGGUAGCGCCUCGUGAACUCAUCUUCGGGGGUAGAGCACUGUUUCGGCUAGGGGGCCAUCCCGGCUUACCAACCCGAUGCAAACUACGAAUACCGAAGAAUGUUAUCACGGGAGACACACGGCGGGUGCUAACGUCCGUCGUGAAGAGGGAAACAACCCAGACCGCCAGCUAAGGUCCCAAAGUCAUGGUUAAGUGGGAAACGAUGUGGGAAGGCACAGACAGCCAGGAUGUUGGCUUAGAAGCAGCCAUCAUUUAAAGAAAGCGUAAUAGCUCACUGGUCGAGUCGGCCUGCGCGGAAGAUGUAACGGGGCUAAACCAUGCACCGAAGCUGCGGCAGCGACGCUUAUGCGUUGUUGGGUAGGGGAGCGUUCUGUAAGCCGUUGAAGGUGUCCUGUGAGGGGUGCUGGAGGUAUCAGAAGUGCGAAUGCUGACAUAAGUAACGAUAAAGCGGGUGAAAAGCCCGCUCGCCGGAAGACCAAGGGUUCCUGUCCAACGUUAAUCGGGGCAGGGUGAGUCGACCCCUAAGGCGAGGCCGAAAGGCGUAGUCGAUGGGAAACAGGUUAAUAUUCCUGUACUUGGUGUUACUGCGAAGGGGGGACGGAGAAGGCUAUGUCAGCCGGGCGACGGUUGUCCCGGUUUAAGCAUGUAGGCGGAGGUUCCAGGUAAAUCCGGUACCUUGUUAACGCUGAGGUGUGAUGACGAGGCACUACGGUGCUGAAGUGAUAAAUGCCCUGCUUCCAGGAAAAGCCUCUAAGCAUCAGGUAACACGAAAUCGUACCCCAAACCGACACAGGUGGUCAGGUAGAGAAUACCAAGGCGCUUGAGAGAACUCGGGUGAAGGAACUAGGCAAAAUGGUGCCGUAACUUCGGGAGAAGGCACGCUGAUGUGUAGGUGAAGUCCCUGCGGACGGAGCUGAAAUCAGUCGAAGAUACCAGCUGGCUGCAACUGUUUAUUAAAAACACAGCACUGUGCAAACACGAAAGUGGACGUAUACGGUGUGACGCCUGCCCGGUGCCGGAAGGUUAAUUGAUGGGGUUAGCGGCAACGCGAAGCUCUUGAUCGAAGCCCCGGUAAACGGCGGCCGUAACUAUAACGGUCCUAAGGUAGCGAAAUUCCUUGUCGGGUAAGUUCCGACCUGCACGAAUGGCGUAAUGAUGGCCAGGCUGUCUCCACCCGAGACUCAGUGAAAUUGAACUCGCUGUGAAGAUGCAGUGUACCCGCGGCAAGACGGAAAGACCCCGUGAACCUUUACUAUAGCUUGACACUGAACACUGGUCCUUGAUGUGUAGGAUAGGUGGGAGGCUUUGAAGCGUGGACGCCAGUCUGCGUGGAGCCAACCUUGAAAUACCACCCUUUAAUGGCUGGUGUUCUAACGUAGACCCGUAAUCCGGGUUGCGGACAGUGUCUGGUGGGUAGUUUGACUGGGGCGGUCUCCUCCCAAAGAGUAACGGAGGAGCACGAAGGUUGGCUAAUCCUGGUCGGACAUCAGGAGGUUAGUGCAAUGGCAUAAGCCAGCUUGACUGCGAGCGUGACGGCGCGAGCAGGUGCGAAAGCAGGUCAUAGUGAUCCGGUGGUUCUGAAUGGAAGGGCCAUCGCUCAACGGAUAAAAGGUACUCCGGGGAUAACAGGCUGAUACCGCCCAAGAGUUCAUAUCGACGGCGGUGUUUGGCACCUCGAUGUCGGCUCAUCACAUCCUGGGGCUGAAGUAGGUCCCAAGGGUAUGGCUGUUCGCCAUUUAAAGUGGUACGCGAGCUGGGUUUAGAACGUCGUGAGACAGUUCGGUCCCUAUCUGCCGUGGGCGCUGGAGAAUUGAGGGGGGCUGCUCCUAGUACGAGAGGACCGGAGUGGACGCAUCACUGGUGUUCGGGUUGUCAUGCCAAUGGCACUGCCCGGUAGCUAAAUGCGGAAGAGAUAAGUGCUGAAAGCAUCUAAGCACGAAACUUGCCCCGAGAUGAGUUCUCCCUGAGACUUUAAGUCUCCUGAAGGAACGUUGAAGACUACGACGUUGAUAGGUCGGGUGUGUAAGCGCAGCGAUGCGUUGAGCUAACCGAUACUAAUGAACCGUGAGGCUUAACCUU
rnacentral:rRNA from 1 species